UACGUAGGGGGCAAGCGUUAUCCGGAUUUACUGGGUGUAAAGGGAGCGUAGACGGCGACGCAAGCCAGAUGUGAAAGCCCGGGGCUCAACCCCGGGACUGCAUUUGGAACUGUGUGGCUGGAGUGUCGGAGAGGCAAGUGGAAUUCCUAGUGUAGCGGUGAAAUGCGUAGAUAUUAGGAGGAACACCAGUGGCGAAGGCGGCUUGCUGGACGAUGACUGACGUUGAGGCUCGAAAGCGUGGGGAGCAAACAGG
rnacentral:rRNA from 1 species